rnacentral:lncRNA from 1 species
UACGAGACACCACGUUAAACAGUGAAAUUAAAGAAAAUUGACCGUCCGUUUAAUAUAUAAUGUGUGUAUAGCCGUUGGAUGAAACAUGAGGAGGCCAGACGUGGUCUCCUAUCCCACGAGUCUCUCCACUUGGAGUCUCCCAUCCCACGUACAUGUAAAUGAGUCUUCCUCCACUUGGACUCUUUCCCGUUUCCCUUAAAUCAGGAAAAAAAUGUGAUUAGUUAUACACGGGACAUCCUCCACUUGGUACCUAUCCAUGUCGUCUCUCUCACGUUAAUCCUGGGCAAAAAAACUAUAAAAUAAAAAUGUUGGCCUUUUAUUUUUAUUCUCAAUCGCCACGUAUCGUACUUUAAUUGUCCAAAAAGAAAAAUACACAUAGUCUCCAUUGAAAUGUGGUUUCAUUGGCAAUACAAACACAUGCAUGGUUGUAUAUAUUAGGUGUUUUCCGUUCUCCAGGCUAUCUCCUCGGCGCAAGGCCAUCCCAUAGAUCUUAAUUCUUCUAGCACGCAUCUCCGGCUUCAUGCUGUCGACAACAACUUCUACAACAUCUCUCAUCGUCCGCAACGGAUAGCACCUUCCCUCGCUCCCAUCACAAACGGGUCGCCGUCCUGUCCGAUCGGGUCUAAUCACAAAGGUUUGGACAAAUAGCUCUCCUGUACAGGUAACAAACACAUAAGCAUCCUCAUAGGUAUUCCUAACUAUCUCUUUGAUGUUGCAGCUCAAUGACGAAGUCUUCCAUGGCAUACAAAACCUUUUGUCAGAUCAAUACUAGCAGUAGAGGAAAGGAAUUAACAAUCAAGGCAAGAUUAACAAGAUUGGGAUUUCAUAUUGAUCGGUAAUGGUGAAAUACUUAGUCUACGCAUGGUCCUUAUUGAUGAAGAGGUAUUAUGGUUCCCUCAUAGAAAUUACAUCCUUUCUUGAUUUUUUUUAUAAUUUAGCUUCAAUCUACAUGCUAAUCUACAUGCAAAUUACAAAUACAAUUGAAGGGGACAAUGUUGCAUGGAGUUAUCAAUAAGGCACGUAUCAAAAAGUUAAGGUCAUUAAUUCAAGAAGGCAAUGUGUACCUCAUUAAAAAUGUGAGUCAUUCCAGCAGCAGCAAAAUCCUAUAUGAGAUGAUGAUUAACUUCUCACCCACAAGAAAUAUAGAGGAGACUGAACGAAGAUAAUGAAGACAUUCCAAAGCAUGGUUUCAACUUCUCAAGCGUGGAGGUACUCUCCCAAAGAGUAAGCAUUGACACUUAUCUCUUAGGUAUGAUAUCAAUGAACUUUUAAGAUACAAUAUGCCAUACUUCUUCAUGACAUGUAUAAAAUGCCAUCUGCAACACACAUAGGACCAAGUGAAGAAACUAAAACAUAUCUUGGGCCCUCCAGAAUCCAUGAUAUUUUCCUUCUAAUCGAGUAAGCCAAAAAAUACAUCUUAUUUGCAGCGAAGUUUCUCAAGUCAUGUCUUCAUGUUUUACUUUUUGUUGACAGAGACAGCUGAUCUAAUUGAUGUCAAGUCAAUAGGGAAUGUCAUUACAAGUACAUCGACAACAGUGAGGAAAUUUGGCAGUAUGUCUUCUUUCAAAUUUUAAUUACUUAUUUUAUUAUCUCUCUGUUUGGUUUUACAUAGGAAAAUGAUUAUUUGAACCACUAUGCAGGAUAUUCUCUAUCGUCAAAUAGUGCAACUCAAGUUUUUAUAAAUUUAGAUAUUCCUGAGAGUAUGGAUGUACAAAAUAGGUAAGCAAAAUUCCUACAAAUAUUGCCCAUUUAACGUCAAUGUCAGUACUACUUACCCUGGCUCAUAACUUUUUGUCUCCAAAUAACAUUUGUUCCAAAAAUAUAUCAAAGAACUACAUGUUUGAGGAGAACCAUCUAAAAGGGACACUGGAAGAGCAAAUGCGCUACAAUAGAAAAAUUUAGAAGAGUUAAAUGGCAUUCUGUUAGACUCAUCAAAUCAGGUUUGUAAUCCAGCGAUAAUAAUGAAUUGUUUUUUCCCACACAGAAGCAUAAAUAUAUUUAUAUUACUCUACAGGGAAGUAUAUUUACCAUGGAAGCAGUAAUUAAUGAUGUUAAUGCAAGAUAUGGUUGGUACUACAUAUCAUGCAGCGGAAAUAAUUGCAAGAAGCGACUUGAAAAGAGAAUUGAUUACUACUAUUGUACCAAAUGCGAUAGGAAAGCUCAACCCAAACCACGGUAAAAAAUUUAACAUAUCUCUAUCUUAAUAGUUUUAAUAGAAUAAUUUUUAAAUUAAUUCACUACAUAUUUUGCAGAUAUAAGAUUAAGCUUGAACUUAGUGACUCGAGAGUCUGCAUCUUGCGUUCUUUUUGAAAAAGAGGCCCAACAAUUAAAUCAUGAGUUAGCAGAAAACAUGGUUGCAUCAACAAUAGCUGGUCGAUGAGGUAAAUUCUUAUAUCAUGGGUAGAAUAGAAGGUGAAGAGGUAACCUAUCGAAGCUCAGAUAUAGUGUGCAAAGGAAUGUCAAAUUCAUAAGAUGGAGAUCAUUUGUACCCAACAGAAUUCCAGAAUAGCUUUAAGUGCCCUGGAAUACCAGACCACGAAAUACGGCUGAAAGUUGGACUGCCAGUUAUGCUGCUACGGAAUAUCAACCAAAGAGAAGGCUUAUACAAUGGUACGAGACUAACUAUAACACACCUAGGCAAAUGGUUCAUAGAAGCUCAAAUGAUGACAGGAACAAACAUUGGAAACAAGGUAUAUAUUCCAAGGUUUAUUAUGUCACCAAGUGACUCAAAAUGGCCAUUUGUGUCGAAAAGGAGGCAAUACCCAAUAUCAGUUUGUUUUGCAAUGACAAUAAAUAAGAGUCAAGGGUAGUCGCUAAAACAUGCGGGGCUAUAUUUACCAAAGCACGUCUUCACACAUGGUCAACUCUAUGUAGCAGUAUCAAGAGUCACAAGUAGAGAUGGACCUAAAGUUCUAAUUUCAGAUGAAGAAUCAAGGAAAAUAAUUCGGCAAAAAAUAUUGUGUACAAGGAGAUCCUUUAGUAAAGGGACCUUAGAAUAUUUCUAUUUUACUCUAUGUAACCUUCUUCAAAAGGAAAUCAUAUGGAUUUCAGACGAAUCAGGUAUUUCUGCGGACACACAUGACUAUGUUUGCCAAUUUGAUCUAGCACUAAAAAAAUCUGUGGUCUAUGCAUUGCAUAAUUAGUAUUAAAAAACUAGAUGAAUCAUGAAUCUGUACCUUCAGUUUACUAAGUAUUCACAGUUUGGAUCUCACGACUCAUGCCCUAAUCUGUCUCAUAGCUCUGACAUGAGCAUAAUAUAAUUGAAUGUGCAUCUGUCAAUACCAAAUAAAAGAUCCAUCAACAUCUCUUCCUUGGGCAUGAUUGAGCACGAAAUGGCAAGAUUGUCGUUUUCCUAUGUAAAUAUACUUGGAUGAUUUCAUUAAUGAUGAUUCAGGUCGUAUAGCCGACCAAGCAAGGGCUAGAUUUGAUUAUUAUUUUCGUAAUAUCCCAAGAUCAAUUCUGUCAAUAGCUGUGUGCUGUCAUUAAGCAUGGAGCGGUUGGUUCUUGAUUCCCACAUUAUAUGCCUAAAUGGUAACGAAUGUGGUCUGCUCUACAGGUAUUAUAGCGACCACAUAUUACAGGUUACAUCCUACAAAUUCAAACAAUUUAGCUCAGGCAAAAACAAACAAAAUAAGCUAACACAGGUGUACCGAUUCAGAUCAAAUAGUCUCCUUGAUGACUCCUCUACCACCCAUCUGUACACCACACAUACAUCAACUCAUUGCAGAUCUGCACAGAUCCAAAAGGGAAAUAAGGCAUCCCUCGAAGCAAGUUUCCAAUUCUUAAGAUACUACAUGCACAAAAUUAAAUGAUUUAACCACACCUGAUGUAUCCCAUAGUGGUUGCUUUGUAAGAUUUGUCGCUGAGAAAUUGAAGGACUGGGAACAAAAUGUAUGACCAGUGGUUGGAUCGAGGGUUUCAUUUUGGGGGAACGGCGAGUGGGGAGAGGGAGGGCAGUCGGCGCCGCGGGUGGGAUUGGAACUAGCGGUGACUCGGCGUCGCACCCCGGCGGAUUUCUGGAUCAAUCUUUGCCAUGGCUGAAGAUGUCCAUUUUUGGGAGAUGAGGGAAGAAACGGCAGGUUUAUUUACUGGACACAUGCGUCGCACUAUAUCAAGCUACACUACGCUACUAUAUAUUUCUUUACCUUUCUGCUACACCUCACACGUCGCAAUAGUAUGGAUAUCACAAGUAUUUGCAUAUUCACGUUGCACACACAUACCAGAUGUAGAGUGAACGACUAAGAAGAAAAACAUGAAAAGAAAUAAUUGUUUGAUUAAACAUAAAAAAAUGCACUCACACUAAAAAUAUAUUUUCAACAUUGGAGUUACAGAGCUCUAAUUUUGUCGAUUUCAUUAAUUGUAAAUAGCCGUGAUGUUAAAUAUGCAAGAAAAAUAAACAACACUUUUUACAUGCUUAUUUAACUAUAAAUAAUAAUAGCUUUUCCUUAUGCCUAUAUCUUUUAUGUUGGCCUUGGCCUAUAAAAACGAGGGAAAAAAACUUCCAAAGAACCAUCAAAUAGAAAUACAAUAAAUAAUUUUUUUCAAGUAUCAUGCGCGAAUCAGUUAAAUCUGAUAUAGAAAAAAGUCAUAUACAUGUUUCCGUUACAAAUAUAAUUAAAUUUCACACAUUAAAUCUUUAAUAAAAAUACAAUGUUAAUUUUAGAAGACAAUAUCAACAAAUUCCUCGAGUAAGAAAGAACAAAAGGUCUAAAGAAUUCAUCUCAGAUAAGUUAUCUAUAGGAACUAUACAAUAAUAUUGUUUGAAUGGCCUAUUUAUUACCAAACGACAAAAUUGAAUACUCGCCUAUAUAUGUUCCUGAUCGUAACUGAUUUUAAUAAAGUUCAGAUUUCAAGGUAUCCCCUUUCCAGAAAUUCGCAAAAUCAUAUAAGAUAUUAUUAAUACAUCAUGCACGGACCAACCUCAAUUAAAAUAUACUUAGAAGUACGUAAUAUAAGCAUUGUGGUCGAUCGAUGAUAGAUAUAUUGCAUCACUAUUGUGAGUGGCAUCAUGUGCAUUCUGCCUUUUCUUACAAAUUACUCAUAAUAUGAAUAACAUCCAUUGUUUUUUCGAAAAGCAUAAUGCACAUCCAAAUCAAUCGGCUCGCCAAAUAGUCCAAGGGAUAUACCUCCUUUUGUCUCUACGUCUAACAAAUAGAUAUUUUUAUAUGUAACCAUUUUUAGCAAUAUAUGUUCAUUUUAUUUUGGUAUGACGUUCCUAAUUUGUAGAAAUUAUAUAUACCAAUAAUAUUGAAAGUUCUAGCCCGUGCAGUCGCACGGGUUGACGACUAGUAUGACCUAACUCAUAAUUCAGAAAUAUAUGACCCCGUCGGGAGGCCGAAGAGCACCUUUUCGAGAGGUGUCGUGGGUCGGGGUGUCAGUGGUGUCGUGUCGGGGUCAGGGUGCUGUGUCGGGGUAAUUGGAGGCACCAUACGAGACACCACGUUAAACCGUGAAAUUAAAGAAAAUUGACCGUCCGUUUAAUAUAUAAUGUGUGUAUAGCCGUUGGAUGAAACAUAAGGAGGCCAGACGUGGUCUCCUAUCCCACGAGUCUCUCCACUUGGAGUCUCCCAUCCCACGUACAUGUAAAUGAGUCUUCCUCCACUUGGACUCUUUCCCGUUUCCCUUAAAUCAGGAAAAAAAUGUGAUUAGUUAUACACGGGACAUCCUUCACUUGUUACCUAUCCAUUUUGUCUCUCUCACGUUAAUCCUGGGCAAAAAAACUAUAAAAUAAAAAUGUUGGCCUUUUAUUUUUAUUCUCAAUCGCCACGUAUCGUACUUUAAUUGUCCAAAAAGAAAAAUACACAUAGUCUCCAUUGAAAUGUGGUGUCGUUGGCAAUACAAACACAUGCAUGGUUGUAUAUAUAUAUAUAUAUAUAUAUAUAUAUAUAUAUAUAUAUAUAUAUAUAUAUAUUUCAACAUACACAUUACGUACACAUCAGGUGUUUUCCAUUCUCCAGGCUAUCUCCUCGGCGCGAGGCCAUCCCAUAGAUCUUAAUUCUUCUAGCACGCGUCUCCAGCUUCAUGCUGUCGACAACAACUUCUACAACAUCUCUCAUCGUCCGCAAGGGAUAGCACCUUCCCUCGCUCCCAUCACAAACGGGCCGCCGUCCUGUCCGAUCGGGUCAAAUCACAAAGGUUUGGACAAAUAUCUCUCCU